UACGAAGGGGGCUAGCGUUGUUCGGAAUCACUGGGCGUAAAGCGCACGUAGGCAGAUUUGUUAGUCAGGGGUGAAAUCCCGGGGCUCAACCUCGGAACUGACUUUGAUACUGCAGAUCUCGAGUCCGGAAGAGGUGAGUGGAAUUCCUAGUGUAGAGGUGAAAUUCGUAGAUAUUAGGAAGAACACCAGUGGCGAAGGCGGCUCACUGGUCCGGUACUGACGCUGUGGUGCGAAAGCGUCGGGAGCAAACAGG
rnacentral:rRNA from 1 species